GGCAUUCCAAGUUUUGCUACUUUUGUUCUUCUGAGUAUUCGCAAUAAGUGACGCUUGCAUAUUUUUUAAAAAUUCACAGUUUGAUUGAACAUUUAAGGGAAAGUAUGGCAUUACUGCUUUAACCUGACGUUAAAAGUUAAGACUUCUUUUUAAGCUCAGUCAGCCUUAGGGAAGUUUUGUUCAGGAGGAAGAGCGAAGCUAGGAAUGCUGACCCACACGUCAACAGAACCCAGGCAAGUCGCCUUUUGGUUUCAUUUCCCACAGUCGAUGCUCUCCUUUCUCUCGGGUUCUGAAGUGGUUCGGAGAAAACAACCAAAUACUUGUGCCAUUGGACCCUUGCAGACACGUUUCUCAACCAAGCCCUCAUGGCUGCUCGAAUUCCUCCUGUCUCGCAUUCUUCCUCUCUUGGAAGCGCCUGCUGCUUCAGGUGCCUCUGUCCCAGCUCUCUCUGAUCCCUCAGCUGCCCUGCAGCCUCUCGGGGGUUCUUCUCCGAGGCCUAGCUUUGCCCUGUGUUUGAGUUCCACCCACCUUCUGUACUAUUCCAGAUUAUGUAUAUCCUCUUCGGAAUCUUCUAGCUUUCCCUUCAUUGGCUCCUUGCCUCCAUUCCCAAACACCAGCGAAUCUUCCCUAGUCCACAAACUCAUUUUUCUUUUCUUUUUGCUUUAAUUAUUCCUUUUCAUGAAGAGCCUCUUUUUUUUUUUCUUUUUUUUCUUGGGUUGUUUCAUGGAGACGGUUUCUCUGCGUAGUCCCGGCUGUCUUGGAACCAUAUUACCAGGCUGGCCUCGAACUCAGAGAUCUGCCUGCCUCUGCUGGCCACCACUGGCCGUGAUGAGCCUCUUAUAGUGAACCACCUUUGCUUUGUGUGUGCUGGGAUUCCUCGGGGUCUGUCUGGAAUGAGGUCAGAUCAGAUUGUGUUCUGAGCCGAAUGAAUGAACUGAUUACCGUUGACCGUAUUUUCCAUUCUUAAAAGUCUUUAACCACACUGUAACUUUUUUUUAACACUGACGGGCUCUUUUUCUCUUGAAAUUCUUGGUAAUUACUUAAUCAUUUAUUCACACAUUUUGUUCUACAAAGGAUGGGGCACGCUUACAGACACACUUUCCAUGCUGCACAGCCCCCCUUAAAGUCUGUUCAGUGAUUUCCAGAUUAUCCUUCCCGUGAUGGGUUCUAGAAGGUUUCAUCACCCCCGAAUGGGCGAACACACACCCCAGAUGCUUUCACUUCCAGUCUGUCUCUUCUGCAGUCAGCUCCUCACCCACUCCGUGUCUCUGGAUUUGCCUGCUGUGCAUAUUCCAUAUAAAGGGGGUCAGGUGGUGUUGCUCUUUCGUGACUGGCUUCUUUGAUGUAGUGUUUUCAAGGCGCUGUAUUGCUGUGGAGGGCUGACUGGUAUCUCAUUGGUAUGAAAGCCCCUCCUGGCUCUUGGUCGUUACUGGUCUCUUUUAGCAAUCCUCAUGCAUGUGAUGGGAAAGCUCACAAUUUUGGCUUGCAUCUCCUCAGUACUAAUCAUUUUCUGAGCCUCAUUUCCUGGGCUGCUCAUCUACCAUCCGUGUAUCAUAGUUGGAGAACUGUCUGUUAGGGUUAUUGCUGAUUUGUAUUAACCUUUUCUUUCUGGCUGUGCUGGCUUUUAAACCCAGGGUAUUGUGUAUGCUAAGAAAGAGCUUCAUCACCGAGCGAUGCUUCUGCAGCCGCAUUUCUCUGUAUAAAACCCCACAUGGUAGGUAGUGCCAAACUCACCACAGAUAAAUUGGAGAGCAGAGGUAAGGCAGUUUAGCUAAAGAACGCUUAAGAUUAAGAAGUAAGGCCUUAGCCACCACCACAGAGUAAAGUUCCUGUUUCAUUUACUUCUCACUCACAAUCUUGUGACAUUGUUGAUACUGAGCCUGUGAAGGCUCUUACAGUAAAAUGUCCUGUGUAUCUAAUGGAAAACCAAACCCACACUAGGAUAUUCUUUAAGUUAACCUUUCUUUUUUAAAAACUUAUUUAUUUAUUAUGAAUACAGUGUUCUGCCUGUAUCUCUGCCUGCAUUCCAGAAGAGGGCACCAGAUCUCAUUAUGGAUGGUUUCUAGGAAUUGAACUGAGAUCCUCUGAAGAGCAACCAGUGUUCUUACCCCCUCAGCCAUCUCUCCAGCUCCCAAUCUUUAAGCCCCUUCCAACAUUAUUUACUGCUAGACUAAUUCCAGUAAACUUGUAUUUACCAAAUUAAAAUAAAAACCAAUCACAGUGCCGGGCGUGGUGGCACACGCCUUUAAUCCCAGCAGAGGCAUGCGGGUCUCUGGGAGUUCAAGGCCAGCCUGGUCUACAAGAGCUAGUUCCAGGACAGGAACCAAAGCUACAGAGAAACCCUGUCUCAAAUCCAAAACAAACAAACAAACAAACAACCAAUCAUAGUUUAGUUUCUACUAAAAUUUUGUAUUGAACGAAGUUAUGAGACUCUAGGCUCCAUGGUACGCACACACCUAUAUUCCCAGGUCUUGGCAGGCUGAGGGGAAGUUCACUUAAGCUAGCCUGGGCAGCACAGCAAGAGUAAGCAAAGUAAGCAAGAAAACGAAAAGAAACCAGGGGAAACGUCUGUGUGGGAGAUAGCUGAGUUUAAGUUAUUACUCGAUUUCUUUUAAACAGGGCAGGUAUAAAAGUAACUUACAAGGAAAGAUGUUCAGAAAAUAUUGACAGUAUUUUGUGUUAACUUUUUCUCUAAUCUAAUGGAAGGUUGGUUAAUCAAUGAUGAGCUUUCUCAAACACACAGAGAGAGAGAGAGAGAGAGAGAGAGAGAGAGAGAGAGAGAGAGAGAGAGACACCUUGACCUUUGGAAAUAUGUCUGUAUCUGACACAUAGUCAAGAUACUUUGUACACUUUUGAGCUGCCAGGAUCGAUUGUUCUACCAGAUAGAAUCAAGAAGUGUUUAGCUUGGAAAAGGGCACAUUGGUGAUUAAAGGUUAAAAUACAGACUUAUUUAUUUAAGGCAGGGUUUCACAAUGUAGCUCUGGCUAGCAGGGGCUUGCUGUGGCCCAGGGUGGCCUUGAAUUCACAGAAACUUACCUGCCUUUCUGAAGUGUUGGGGGAUUAAAGGCGUGUGCCAGCACAUGAGGCAACUUGUUUCUUAAGACUCAUUUACUGAUUUUAUGUGUGUGUCUGUUUUGUCUGAAAGCAUAUUUGUGAACCACAUUCAUGCAUUCCCGGUAGAGUGCAGUGUAUCUUGUGGAACUGGAGUUAAAGGCGGUUGUGAGCCACCGUGUGGGUGCUGGGAUGAGAACCUGGGUCCUCUGGAAGAGCAGCAAGUGCUCUUAAGUGAUGAGUCAUCGCUCCAGCCCCAGAGUUUCAGUUUUAUAAGAUGAAAAUUUAAUCUUUGUACUGAACAGUUAAAAGUAGUUUGGGUGAUGAAGUUUACGUGACGUGGGGUUUUUGUUGUUUUAUGUUUUGAGGUAGGGUCUCAUGAAGCCCAAGAUGGACUAGGAACUCACUAUGCAUCUGAGGACGAUCUUCAGCUCUCCAUCCUCCGUCUCUACCUCCCAAGAGCUGAUGUGAUGUACACCUCUAUAUCUGGCUGUACUCUGUAUAUCUUGACACACUGAAAAUACUGGAGAAGAUCUUAAAAGUGUAUAGGAUUGUUUUGUACUUACACCCAAAAGGAAAUGCUGCAUUUCUUUAGGAGAUUACUCAAAGAUUCUAUUUUUAUCCCACCCCAAACAAGCAUUUAACCUUCUUAGCUAUCACCAUGGCAGAGAUGAAUUCAAUUCGUUGAGAUUUGAACCAUAAAUGGUUCUCAGAAGAACCAGGUUACUGUUGUCCCAUCCCUUAGGAACUUGACCCUUUGACAGUGUUUGCCAUCGUUCACUCUUAUCUGCUGGACCUUCUCUGCUCUAGGCUGCUGUGACCCUUUGCCUGAUUUCUGAAUGAAUCCUCACUGGCUCCCAGACUUCUAAAUAAUGUCUUCCAAGGGACACUGUCCUGUCUUCUCUUCUCUAUAGUCUACUCCAGGACUUCAACACUCUUUUUUUUUUUUGUUGGUGGUUGUUACUCCACUGGAUCGAUCCCUGUGAGUUCUGGACCCUCCUAUCCUCCUGCCUCUGACAUCACAGACUCCCCCAACUGACUGCAGCUGAGGUAGACCACCCGGGACUGCAGCUGAGGUAGACCACCCGGGACUGCAGCUGAGGUAGGUAGGCCACCCGUUCUCUCUGUUCCCACUUUACUCUUCACCUUAGUCAUUUCCAGUUAUCCCCAGAACCCCCAAGAUAGCCUUUCUACCCUCUUUCCACGUCCCUCAUCCCAGCAGCAAAGUCUGUAGAUUCUGCUUUUGUUUUGGAUCUGUCCCCUUCUUUUCAUUCCCAUCAGCAGACUGUAUCCAGGCCGCCGUCACUUAUGCCCGGACCACUGCAGCAGCCUCCAGCCCGUUCUCUUCACCUGCUUUCAUGUCCCCUCUCUGAAUCAUUCUGCACACUGUUGGCAGGACUGUCAGGACACACUUCUGCUUUACUGCUGCUCUCUCUGUGGCUUCCCAGAUUCCUUGCUUUGUGUGCCCAUGUCUUCUGUACAGCUCUCCACCUUCAGGCCAUGUCAUUUUCUCCCCGCUUGCUGUGUUGGUCACUCUGAUUUUCCUUUUUUCCUUUCAUCCCCAGCUUUCUGCCCUUGAGAUCAUGGCAGCUUGGUCUUCAGACCUUACCUCUCAGAUCAUUCCUUGAACACUAUUGCCUUGCAUGUUGCAGGCAGUCGCUGGAUGUUGCUUAUGUGUUUAAUGGCUGGUGUUUUCUUUGCUUCCUUCUUUCCUUGCUUUCUUUUUCUUUCAACAGGGUCUUACUAUAUAUUCCUGGAAUUCCCAAUGUAGACCAGGCUGGCCAGAGAUCUGCCUGCUCCUAUCUCCCAAAUGCUGGGAUUAGAGGCAUGCACCACUAUGCCCAGCUAGUUCUUUUUUUUCUGAGACAAUGUCUUACUAGGUAGCCCAGGUUAGCUUGAAACUCACUGUGUAGCCAAGGCUGGCCUUGAACUCAAUCCUCCAGACUCUGUCUCCCAAGUACUGGGAUUACAGGCUCUGCCACCAUACCAAUUUAGAUGGUUAUGAAAUGACUGAAAGAGGAUGGGAGUGAAGCUCAUUGGGAAAGUCAUGCUUAGCAUGUACUAGGUCCUGGGUUCAAGUCCCACAGAGAGAGAUAGAAGAUAGAUAGAUAGAUAGAUAGAUAGAUAGAUAGAUAGAUAGAUAGGAAGAUAGAUGAUAGAAGAUAGACAGAAGAUAAGGGGAGAAAGGGAGGAAGGAGUGAUGAUGGAGCAGCUGUGUCUCCCUCCUGUGACUUCCUGGCUCAGCUGCCUUCACCAGUCUGUGCUGGUCUCUCAGGAAUUUCCUGACAGCUGAACAUUGACUG